rnacentral:lncRNA from 1 species
UGUGUGUGUGUAUAUAUAUAUAAGAAGAUCAAAUAGAAUUCAGGAGUUUUCCAGGAUUUUAUCAGCAUAAGAAUUAUGAGAGAAAUACGCUUACUGUUUUUCACUCUUGAGGCGGUUUGAUAAAACAUUGGGGGAACCAACUGAAAGACAGUGUUUCGGACAAAACGACGUCGUCUGAUGUAGAAUUUGUUGGGCUGACAAAAUAGCAUUGGAAUAGGUUGAUGGUGGAACUUCUUCCAAGAAAAGGUAUGUUAAAAAUUAAAAGAUAUUUUUUUAAGAUUAACUUAAUUAAAAUAAAUUAUAUAAAAAAUAAUAUGUUAUAUAUUAUAUAUUUUAAAAUAAAUGACACUUUUACCCUCACUUAAACACGUCACAUGAAGAAUAUAUAUGUCUUCGAUCCAAUACAGAUAACACCAUCAUUCAAAAAAUGUACAUUCCAUAUAAUUAUAAAAUAUGAAUGAUACAUUGCUCAAUUUUAAACUCGAAAGAGCAAUGUGAAAAACAUGAGUUGGGGGCAAAGUGUAAUAAACCUAAUUAAUUUUAUACCCACCGUUAUUACUAUAUUAAUAAGAUAUUUUAGAAGUUUUAUCAUUUUCAUUUAAUUUUAAAUUUGUUUUCAUUUAAUUAAUCAUAAUAUAAAUAAUAAUAAUAAUAAUAAUAGCAAACCAUUUUCUCAUCAAAUAUUUUUGUAAAAUUACUCCUUCAAAACCAUUUUUCUCUAUUAAAGCAUUAAUGUUUUUCUUUUUUAUUUUCGAAAAAAUUAAAAAACUAAAAUUAUAGAAGAUUUAUUCUUAUAUAUAUUUUCUAUAAUGUAGGUUAGAUUCAGAAAGUAAUUAUUCAAAACUUAAAGCAUCAAUUAGACAUUUGAAGUUUGAUCAGAGCAAAUGUUUCACAACAAAACAAAUAAAUGGCAGGAACCAGCUAAAGAAAAUAAUAAUCUUCAAUUAAAACAACCAAGCUUCUAAAGGGCUAACAAAAUUGAAAAUUUUGGUCUUUUCAAUCACUUGAUUUCAUGAUCAGGGUCUCCUGCUGAGGGCUUUG